GCUGGUGAGCUAAGAAUGGUUUCCAUAUUUUUGAAGAGUUGCCACAAGAAGAGCGACAAAUAAAAACAAGGAAUCUUCAAUUGAGACUACAUGUGGGCUGCAAAAACUAUGAUAUUUGCUCUGUGGUCCUUUACAGAAACAUGUUACCAACCUCUAUAUGGAAGUGUCAGAACUACUGUCAGAGGAGCUGCUAAAUCAAUGAGAUGGAGGAACUUAGAUUCAAAUAAUUUUGUGGAGUAGACUUGCUCGUCAGUAUGGCCAGUUUAUCUCAGGACUGCUAGGCAAAGGAAGAAUUAGCUGUGUCCUAAGUGACCCACAUGUAUGUGGGGUCUCAUUGUUACAGCAGCCGAGCCCGUACCCUAACUAAUGGUUAUUUUACCAUUUGUUUUUACCCUAACAGGUAAGAAGCUGCUAGGUAAUAUGCUGAUCUCCCUUUCCACACCUGUUAGCCAGUGGUCUGCAAUUUGUUUUUAGUGUCCCACAUUAUGUCUUUCCUAGUGGCUGUUUAAAGAUUCAGAUGUUAGGUUCACCUAACAAUCUUCCACAUAACUUGAGCCCCAGAGGCUUCAGAAAAGUUCAAGGUCAAAUUCAGUCUACCUGGCUGAUGAUACACAUGUUUUCUAUUACGAUAAUUUCUUCAGAAUAAUCAGUAAUCUCAUAAUCAGUAAUCUUGUCUUUACAUAUCCUUAUUCUGAUAUAUUGGUUUAGAAUGGUUGGUGUAUCAGCGCUGAACAAACCGUCAUGACCUGUUUUCUGGCUGAUGCAAACAGAUUCACCCUUGUAAAAAAUACACUGAGUGGCAUUAGCUCUUAAUAGAUAGGAUUUAAUGGUAGUAUCUGCAGCUGUCGGCUGUGGGAUUUCUUUUUAAGAGCGCAGUUAUGAUUUAGGCCAGACACAUAAGACUAUUGCAAUUAGGGAGGUAACUAAAAAGGUUUAAAUGACCUUGUAGGGAGAGGGGUCUCUAUUCCCAGCUGCGCUCCCAAUGCCGGCUAAGCAUCCUGUCUAGAUCCGGAGAUGGUGCAACACCCCAACCUUGGAAAGCAUAUCAGAGGGGAAGGAAGGGAAAGGGUGGUUUGAACUACAAAGUUCAGUUGGCAAACACAGCUCUUCUCUGUCUCUCUGGAAAUUUAUAAGCCAGCUAGCAAGCAAGGUGGCAAAGCCGGAUUUCCAGUGGGAGCAAUGUGUCCCGAGCCUGCUGCUGCUGGAGUUUUGGAAAUGUCCUAUAUCCGACCCUGGAGGUAGGCUGAUGACAGCUGAAGAAGACUGUAUUUGCUGAGGAGCAGCAUGAUGGUAGAGAGGAGCAGAGCUCCUGAGGGAGACCUAAUGGUUCCUCUCCUUCCUGCACGGAGAUAAAGACUUAUAAUAAGCGUGCAUGUUCACCAUCUGGCUCUGUGCAUGUGGUCCUUAUGGAGGGGAAAGCAGCACAAUCUGUAAAUGAUCAGGAGCCAUGGCGCUCUCUCCAGAGAAUCCACGAUGCAAUCAAGGUGACAGAUGGCAUGGCCACUGCUGUGGCCUCAUGGAGAAGAUCAAAAUCACCUUCAAUAAACUCUGACUGAAAUGGGCAUGAGCACCUCAAAAAAGUCAGUUUGUCAGUCAAACUGCGACAGCAAGCUGCAUUGGGGAAACAUAGCGGCCAGCUCUCUGUUUUCAAUCGUUUCCGUCUGACUGGGCCUGAACUAUGAUCUUUCUCAAAUUGUCCUUUCUGUUUAGCUGAAGCAGGCCAGCAAAUUGCCAGAUUCAUUGCUUUAUUGAAGAAAAUUGAAAACACGAUGUCCUCAAUUCCGGGGACGCGCGACUGGCAGGUGCUGGGACACCCAAGCGCUGAGAGUAGAUCCCCGUGUCUUCAGCCCAAGUUUGCUCAACUUUAGGCAGAUUUUUGGAUAUGAAAAUAAAAUGCAAAUAUGUGCCUGGCCUGGAAAGAUCAGCUGGCAAUGGAUAUGUGAAGGGUAUUAGAUGUCCAGUAAAUGUGUGUAGAAUGAACACAUGCUUGAAAGGAGAAGGAGGAAGGGAGGAAGGAAGGAAAGAGACGAAGUCUCCGUGUUGUUGGUUCCCUGUAUUUUGACAGCAGGCUGCCUUGAUGAUAGAUGCGCUAUCCAUUUCCUUUUCUAUGCAUGUUUAUCGAAUAUAGAUUGCUGUGAACUUGAAGCCUGGGACAUAAGAUCAGUGAAAUACAGGUGUAACAUUUCGUCCUAAACAAAUUGUGUAGAAUUUGUAGAGGUCAACGAGUUCAGACAAAUUUCCGUUUUUGACCCCCUUCCUUCCGCAGCUGAAACAUUUUUGAAAGGUCCAACUGCUCAUAAAACUAGAGGGGGAUGAGUAAAAGUUACCUGUAGUGGGAGAAAAAAACUGUACUGUCUUUUUGAGAGGUAAGGGCACUGAUUUCAGGUCAAAGAUGAUGGAUCUUAAUGAAAGGACUCUCCCCCUCCCUCUCCCUCCUCCUCCCUUGGCAGAGUUCCACUGUUGUUCUUCCUCCCAAGCUCCAGGAAAUGUACAUUUCAAGCAAACGUCGACUUUCCCAACCUUGUGGUUUCCCCAGAACCCUGUAUCUGUUCUCUGAUCCUGGUGUUUUAUAUUAUUAAGCCUGUGAGGAGGUCUCACAAUUCCAACAUCCCAUUGAUUUUCCUACUCGAGACCAUAAUCUUCUAGUUUGCAUACUUGCUUUAUUUAAAAUCCAAAUCCUGCUCCUGCCCCUGUCCCCAUACUCCAUGUUGGAAAUUAUUUGCUUGACAGCUGAGAAAUAUCUUACUAUUGGGUCCUGGAUUCUCAUAAUGGCUUUCUUUUCCCUCAUAGUUGCUUCUGAAUGCUAAUGUCCUGCUGUAGACAUUUAUAAACAACUGAAGGACUUCAGCUCAAAUCUGUGUACACAAAGCGAGAGAAACUAUGAAAAGGGGCUCAUAUUUUGAGUAACAGAAAUAGCAGGAACUUCAUAUAAGGACUGUCUUUUCACAGAACAUGUAAGUGUAGCUGACUUGUUAUGUGUCACAGUUCCAUGUGGUCUCCUGGGAGCCAGGGACUAAAUUUAUUCAGUAGGAAAUAUCUAUGGAGUGCUGAACACCUACUAGGUAUAGGCUGUGUCAGGAGCUGAGAAAUAAAACUUCAUAAAGAAAAGUAGGUAUCACACAGCACUUUUAUGGGCAUUCUCCCCUCGGGCUGGCUCUCUGCUGAGCCCGUUUGCAUUCUCAUCAAUAAUAGCUCUUGUGGAACACAGGACCCAGACGUGUCGGCUGGUGGGAGCAUGCUGUCCUGUCCCUGGAGACGCUGUGUGUAUUCUCCAUCCUGGCCUUUGGCUCUCUGGAAUGACAGGCUCUGUAAUAGACAUGUUCAUCAGCACGGCCACAAGGAGGGGUGGCAGGAUGGGUCAUUUCUGUCUAUCGGUAGCAGUUUCUUUCCCCCAGACUCCAGCUGCUCACAUGGAGUUAUGCUUCAGAAAGGCAAAUGGGUCUAAUCCUUUCCUUAAGGAAAAAGAUUAUAUGGGGAAAUUCAGCAGGGGCCAAAAGGUUGAAGUAGCCUACACUGGAACACGAAUGUUGCGAGGCAACCAGCAGGAAAUUUAGUAAUCAGAGCUCGGCCUAAAUUCAGAUAAUUACGUUCAAGUUCUCUCUGGCAUGCAGUGUCACCUGAUCGUCUGCAAAUUGUGUAACCAUAUAUCAUUACUCUCUUUUAUGUCCUAUCAUUCCUAAAUAAUAAAUUGCUUAGAGAAAGUUUCUUGUGGUAAUUUGCAAAUGUGAGUCUGAAAGCAGAGCUUUUCCUUUAUAAUGCUGCACAUAUACCCUUGCUCUCUCGGCCCGUGGGUGCGGCAGGUAAGAAGAUAUGCAGAUCUUCAGAUCCCACAGGCUCUGAAACUCACAAGGAGGAUGGCUUGUGGUCAGAAUAUGGACAGUAGCUGCAACAUGGACUGAAUAAUUUUUAAUCAUGGAGAGUGCUUUUUAUUUUAAUGUUUUGAAAGAUUGACACAAUGCUGAAAGGAGAGGCUACACAGAAAUUUUAAAAGGUGCACACAAGAAGAUAAGCAAUCUAUUAAAAACUCAGAUUUUGAAAGCAUGCCAUUGGCCUGAAAUGGCCUUGGGGUAACAGUAAUAAUGAAUGGUGAUUUCCCAAGUUCUCUGUGCACCAAGCCGUUUGGACUUCUCAAGAGGACAAUGCUGUCUUCUUUCAAAAGAGGGAGUAGAUGGCUUGCUACCAGUAAAACAGCUCAGACAUAGCUCUACUGAUUUGGGAACAAAGAAAUGGAAUGUGGUUUUGUGUGUGUAGGAUGUCAUCAUAUGAGCUCACACCAGCUCUAAAUUGGGUAUUUGGAGGCUACUACAUCUUUUGGUCAGAUUUCAAAUCAAACCCUCAAUGUCUGCAUUUUUCUGUCCAUGCUUCUCUGAACAAGAAUGAUGGUGAAUGAGGAUGCCACCCUGUACCUCAAAUGUUUCUCAAGCUGCUGGUGUGUUUUGGUUCAGCUUGCAUGAUUUUUUAUACCAGUUUGUGACUUAAAAAAAAAAAAAGCUCUCAGCAAAAUAUUUCUGUUAUAGUAUGAUGUUGUGCUUAGAAAGGUUAAUAAACGUUUUACAGAACACA